rnacentral:rRNA from 1 species
GAUGAACGCUGGCGGCGUGCCUAAUACAUGCAAGUCGAGCGAACAGAUGAGGAGCUUGCUCCUCUGACGUUAGCGGCGGACGGGUGAGUAACACGUGGAUAACCUACCUAUAAGACUGGGAUAACUUCGGGAAACCGGAGCUAAUACCGGAUAAUAUAUUGAACCGCAUGGUUCAAUAGUGAAAGACGGUUUUGCUGUCACUUAUAGAUGGAUCCGCGCCGCAUUAGCUAGUUGGUAAGGUAACGGCUUACCAAGGCAACGAUGCGUAGCCGACCUGAGAGGGUGAUCGGCCACACUGGAACUGAGACACGGUCCAGACUCCUACGGGAGGCGGCAGUAGGGAAUCUUCCGCAAUGGGCGAAAGCCUGACGGAGCAACGCCGCGUGAGUGAUGAAGGUCUUCGGAUCGUAAAACUCUGUUAUUAGGGAAGAACAAAUGUGUAAGUAACUAUGCACGUCUUGGCGGUACCUAAUCAGAAAGCCACGGCUAACUACGUG